rnacentral:rRNA from 1 species
UGGUGGAGUGAUUUGUCUGGUUAAUUCCGUUAACGAACGAGACCUCAACCUGCUAAAUAGUUCGGGGAAUCCAUGUGAUUCCUACGUAACUUCUUAGAGGGACUAUUGGUGAUUAGCCAUUGGAAGUUUGAGGCAAUAACA